CUACGGGAGGCAGCAGUGAGGAAUAUUGGACAAUGGGGGAAACCCUGAUCCAGCAAUGCCGCGUGAGUGAUGAAGGCCUUAGGGUUGUAAAGCUCUUUCGACGGGGAAGAUAAUGACGGUACCCGUAGAAGAAGCCCCGGCUAACUUCGUGCCAGCAGCCGCGGUGAUACGAGGGGAGCUAGCGUUGUUCGGAAUUACUGGGCGUAAAGCGCACGCAGGCGGCCAAAUAAGUCAGAGGUGAAAUCCCGGAGCUUAACUCCGGAAUUGCCUUUGAAACUGUUUGGCUGGAGUCCGAGAGAGGGUAGUGGAAUUUCCAGUGUAGCGGUGAAAUGCGUAGAUAUUGGAAGGAACACCAGUGGCGAAGGCGGCUACCUGGCUCGGUACUGACGCUCAUGCACGAAAGCGUGGGGAGCAAACAGGAUUAGAUACCCUUGUAGUCC
rnacentral:rRNA from 1 species